GCCCUACGGGGGGCUGCAGUAAGGAAUAUUGGUCAAUGGGCGCAAGCCUGAACCAGCCAUGCCGCGUGCAGGAAGACGGCCCUAUGGGUUGUAAACUGCUUUUGUCAGGGAAUAAACCCCCGCUCGUGAGCGGGGCUGAAGGUACCUGAAGAAUAAGCAUCGGCUCACUCCGUGCCAGCAGCCGCGGUAAUACGGAGGAUGCAAGCGUUAUCCGGAUUCAUUGGGUUUAAAGGGUGCGCAGGCGGAGUGGUAAGUCAGGGAUGAAAUCCCACAGCUCAACUGUGGAACUGCCUUUGAUACUGUCAGUCUAGAGUAUAGUUGAAGUUGGCGGAAUGUGUCAUGUAGCGGUGAAAUGCUUAGAUAUGACACAGAACACCGAUCGCGAAGGCAGCUAGCUAAGCUAUAACUGACGCUCAUGCACGAAAGCGUGGGGAUCAAACAGGAUUAGAUACCCGGGUAGUC
rnacentral:rRNA from 1 species